GACGAACGCUGGCGGCGUGCCUAAUACAUGCAAGUCGAACGCAGUGGGUACGGGUGAGUAACACGUGGGUCACCUCCCAUCAGAGGGGAUAACACUUGGAAACAGGUGCUAAACCGAUCCUGAUGGAUGGACCCGCGGUGCAUUAGCUAGUUGGUGAGGUAACGGCUCACCAAGUCCACGAUGCAUAGACGACCUGAGAGGGUGAUUGGCCACACUGGGACGGAGAAAAGGCACAGACUCCUACGCGAGGGAGCAGUAGGGAAUCUUCGGCAAUGGGAGAAAGUCUGACGGAGGAACGCCGCGUUGAUGAAGAAGGUUUGAGGAGCGGAAACCUCUGUUGUUAGGGAGGCGGUAUCUAACCAGAAAGCCACGGCUAACUACGUGCCAGCAGCCGCGGUAAUUC
rnacentral:rRNA from 1 species